AAUCUUCAGGGCAGGGUGCAAUUCCCUACCGGCGGUAUAGCCCGCGAGCCGUAAGGCAUGAUUCGGUGAGACUCCGAAGCCGACAGUAAAGUCUGGAUGAAAGAAGA
rnacentral:ncRNA from 1 species